rnacentral:rRNA from 1 species
AUUUAUUAGAACAAAACCAAUUGGCUUCGGCCAUCGAUUGGUGAAUCUGAAUAACUACGCUGAUCGCACAGUCUAUGCACUGGCGACGUAUCCCUCAAGUGUCUGCCUUAUCAACUGUCGAUGGUAGUCUAUAAGCCUACCAUGGUUGUAACGGGUAACGGAGAAUAAGGGUUCGACUCCGGAGAGGGAGCCUGAGAAACGGCUACCACAUCCAAGGAAGGCAGCAGGCGCGCAAAUUACCCACUCUCAGAACGAGGAGGUAGUGACGAAAAAUAACGAGACAGUUCUCUAUGAGGUCUGUCAUCGGAAUGGGUACAAUCUAAACCCUUUAACGAGGAUCUAUUGGAGGGCAAGUCUGGUGCCAGCAGCCGCGGUAAUUCCAGCUCCAAUAGCGUAUAUUAAAGUUGUUGCGGUUAAAAAGCUUGUAGUUGGAUCUGCGGUCACCGUCACGAGUUUCCUCACGGAAUACUUGCUGACGUGACCUACCUCGCUGGUUUUCCCUUGGUGCUCUUUACUGAGUGCCCUGGGUGGCUAGCACGUUUACUUUGAAAAAAUUAGAGUGCUUAACGCAGGCUU